rnacentral:rRNA from 1 species
UACGGGGGGGGCAAGCGUUGUUCGGAAUUACUGGGCGUAAAGGGUUCGUAGGUGGCUUGCUAAGUCAGACGUGAAAUCCCUCAGCUCAACUGGGGAACUGCGUCCGAUACUGGAUGGCUUGGAUUUGGGAGAGGGAUGCGGAAUUCCAGGUGUAGCGGUGAAAUGCGUAGAUAUCUGGAGGAACACCGGUGGCGAAGGCGGCAUCCUGGACCAACACUGACACUGAGGAGCGAAAGCCAGGGGAGCAAACGGG